GAAGGAUCAUUACCGAGUGUAGGGUUCCUAGCGAGCCCAACCUCCCACCCGUGUUUACUGUACCUUAGUUGCUUCGGCGGGCCCGCCAUUCAUGGCCGCCGGGGGCUCUCAGCCCCGGGCCCGCGCCCGCCGGAGACACCACGAACUCUGUCUGAUCUAGUGAAGUCUGAGUUGAUUGUAUCGCAAUCAGUUAAAACUUUCAACAAUGGAUCUCUUGGUUCCGGCAUCGAUGAAGAACGCAGCGAAAUGCGAUAACUAGUGUGAAUUGCAGAAUUCCGUGAAUCAUCGAGUCUUUGAACGCACAUUGCGCCCCCUGGUAUUCCGGGGGGCAUGCCUGUCCGAGCGUCAUUGCUGCCCAUCAAGCACGGCUUGUGUGUUGGGUCGUCGUCCCCUCUCCGGGGGGGACGGGCCCCAAAGGCAGCGGCGGCACCGCGUCCGAUCCUCGAGCGUAUGGGGCUUUGUCACCCGCUCUGUAGGCCCGGCCGGCGCUUGCCGAACGCAAAUCAAUCUUUUCCAGGUUGACCUCGGAUCAGGUAGGGAUACCCGCUGAACUUAA
rnacentral:rRNA from 1 species